rnacentral:rRNA from 1 species
GAUGAACGCUGGCGGCGUGCCUAAUACAUGCAAGUCGAGCGAACGGACGAGAAGCUUGCUUCUCUAAUGUUAGCGGCGGACGGGUGAGUAACACGUGGAUAACCUACCUAUAAGACUGGGAUAACUUCGGGAAACCGUAGCUAAUACCGGAUAAUAUUUUGAACCGCAUGGUUCAAAAGUGAAAGACGGUCUUGCUGUCACUUAUAGAUGGAUCCGCGCUGCAUUAGCUAGUUGGUAAGGUAACGGCUUACCAAGGCAACGAUGCAUAGCCGACCUGAGAGGGUGAUCGGCCACACUGGAACUGAGACACGGUCCAGACUCCUACGGGAGGCAGCAGUAGGGAAUCUUCCGCAAUGGGCGAAAGCCUGACGGAGCAACGCCGCGUGAGUGAUGAAGGUCUUCGGAUCGUAAAACUCUGUUAUUAGGGAAGAACAUAUGUGUAAGUAACUAUGCACAUCUUGACGGUACCUAAUCAGAAAGCCACGGCUAACUACGUG